rnacentral:misc_RNA from 1 species
ACACCUCAACUCUUCAUGGUUUUCCAUGAUGAGCUUGGACUUUGGGGGUCUUGCUGGCCUUAUAAGUCAGCUCCUCUAAAAUGAAUCAGCUUGCCAGUGUUUGGUGGGCAUCACAGGUGUGAUAACUAUCUACGCUUGUGGUUUUCCACCAGGUAACCUUCAGCAGUGGAGGUUCGCUGGAGCUCACAGACGUCUCUCCUCAGUGAGGACAGCCCUUUGAAU